CACCUAAAGGGGAAAAAAAGAUUACACAAUACUCAGUGACAAUUGUUUGGACGGGUCUAAUUUUCUCUUGAGUUUAGAGCUCAUAAAAUCUGGCCACUUGGGUAUUUUCUGAAUUAGCCUGUGUCUCACUUUAAUCUCAGUGGUAUAUAAAUUUAAACAUGCUGUCUUAUUAUUUACUUUAAGCCUUUGAAAAACUUUGAAUCAAACAAAUCAUGUUUACCAUUUAACAAUAAAACAUUAACAAAAAAAAAGAACACAUGUGCAUACACAUACACACACUCUCUCUCACACACACACACAUGAUUGCCUGUACAAAUACCUGCAGUUUUCUUGCCAUGAUUUUCAUAAGUAGUUUGCCACUGCCUUCUUCCUAGGGCUAAGACAGAGUGGCUGGCACAAGGUCAUCCAGCUGGCUUGUGCCUCAUAAUCUCCUGGUUUCUAGUCUGGUGCCUUAACCACUACAGGAAAUUAACUGUAUUUUAUAUAUUAAAACAUUCUAAUUUAUACUCAUGCUCUUGACUUCUGUUUAUUUUUCAGUUAUGUUGAAAUAAGUAAGGAUAAUAGUAUAAGCUAGUAGUCCUUAAACUCCUUGACUCAAAUAUCUCUUUUCAUACUGUUGGAUUGGAUUACUUAUAGUACUGUUUGAAUUAAUCUCACCAACACCUCCCUCCUCAGAAUCUUGUUUUAGCCAAGCAUUUCAGCAGUGACAGUCCCAAAUUGGAUCACUGACUCACAAACAAGCAAUUACAAAUUGCUGCAUUACUCCAGGGAUAUCCCUGGUUUCUCCCUUGGGUGUAAUUAUCCCUGUUUAAGAACUACUGGCAUAAACAUUAAUUUCUUACAAUUUUCAGUAUCUCUUGCUCUAUGGAUAUAUUCAACAUAUCAACUCUUAUAUACUAUCUGUCCUAAUAUACCUUUCUCUCACACACAAAAUCAGAAUUUGAAAGACAUAACUACAAUACUGUCGGAUAUAUGAUUUUGAGUAAUCCUCGAUUUAUGCCACAGUUGAGUCCAAAAUUUCCAUUAGUAAGCAAGACAGUUGUUAAGAAAGAUGCACCCCAUUUUACAAUCUUUUUUUGCCACAGUUGUUAAGUGAUUACUGCACUGGUUAAACAAAUUGGUUGUUAAACAGAUCUGGUUUCUUUCAUUGACUUAGCUUGUCAGAAGCUGUCUGAGAAGGUUACAAAUAGUGAUCACAUGACCAUGGGACAGUGCAACAGUUAUCAUGUGAACAUGGGGAUGUCUCAACUGGUUCUGAGCUGGCAAGCAAUAAAGCCUCUGCUUCAAUCUCCUGUUUAGUUCCACUGGCUCAUUCUAUGCAGAUAAAGUGACCUAUGUUUUGCUGGUUGAUGUUUUAGGAGAUGCUGAUGCAGAAAUCUGGAAGAUCCAUGCCAUGAAUCAAGAGGUAAUCUGCUCCCUACAGUGAAGUUGAAGCAUUCACAGAAUAGUACUUCAGGAUCUGCGUCAUACCUAUUUCUUUAUCAUUGUGCUAAGGCCUAUAAAAGACCUGCAUCUGCCCUACUGGAAUUAUCCAGCAUCCUAGGAAAAGCACCUUUAAUCCAUUGCUUUAUUCAGCUAGCAUAUCAAAUCUGUCACGUUGAACAAAGGACUGCUUUGCUUGUAAUGACUGUGGCAUUAAUAUUUAUUUGAGAGACUGCUUCUUUCUGAUUAUGUCUGCCUAUGUCCAGCAGAAGGAAUAUGUAACAGGUCCCAAUUACUAAUGAGUUAUAUCUGGCAACACUCGGGAGAAAUAUCUUUUCUUUCAGGCACCUACCCUCUGAAACAUCAUUCUCCCUGAGGUGAGACUGGCCCUUUUUAUGCCAAAAUCCAGAAAGCCCUUAAAAUGUGGCUAUAUAAGCAGGUUUGGGAACCUGACGAAAAUGGUGAACUUGUAGAUGACUACACUAUAAUCAUAUCAAGAUGCUCUCCCUAGUCUUGUUAGUUAGUGCUUUUUCAUAAUAGUAGUCAUCCUUCUGAAAGCAGUAUUUUUGUACAUAGAAGCGCUUUUUCUUCUGAUAAAGCUGACAUUAGGUUUUAGAAGGUCUAACUUUCUCCCUGCUUUGCUCAGUCUGUGCUACUGCUGCUAGACUUUCAGACUCAAGCCCAGAGAUGAGACAGUGAGAUCCAAUCAUGUCCAAUUCUUUAUUUGAUUACACCUAUUAGACAGAACUUUGCCAGACUAAAGCUAAAAACGUCUAAUUUAAUAUUUCCUGAGAGAUCGUAAGAUAUGGCUUCUCCAAACCUCUUACCAUCUCAUCCCUUCUAGCUUGGGACAACACACUCUCUUGAUCUGUGUCUCCCUCUGGGAAAGCUCCGAGUUGACCAAAUCCUUCCUCACUGCUGCUGCAAGUGCACAUUCGAUCACACAGAUUGAGCAAUGAGGGCAUAGAAUACCUUCCAAAUAAGAAAUCCAGUUGGGCAAUACUAAGUCUUGCUUUCAUUCGUAUUUUCAUAUCUGUGCAUCAGUUCUUACAUCAAUUUUACAGAGGUUAUUAAAACAAGGUCCAGCAAAUUAUUCUUAGUAUUCAUAAAGGGAUGCAUUACCAAGUAUAAAUGCUGUUCCCUAUUUCUUUCACAUACCAAUUGUGUUGUAUUAAACAUAACUUUAAUACAUUUUAUAUAUUAUAUAUGGUUAUUUUGAAUAUGUGCCUUGCAUACAAACACAAAAAGUUUCCAUGACAACUUAGUUUUUUUUAAUUCUCCGUUAAUGCCCAUUAUUAUUCAAAAUCAUCUUACCAUCUUGGUUUACCAGUGAGGAGGUUAAACAUAUGACAUCACCUACAAUAAUAUCGGUGAGCUCAGGGGAGAUGGCAUGUUGGACAGGAAGAGGGACAUAGUCUGCAAUAUUGUGUUCCGCAUCCCAAACCUUAAGCAAACUUAGUCCAACGUUCAUUGUUCGAAGUACCAAAGUAUUGUUAGAGGUCCCUUUCCCAACCUGUAAAAAAUCAUCUCUGUAGACAAAAACAAUUUAUUAAAAUAAAUAAAUAAAUAAAUUAUUAUUAACAGUCAAGAGAACAGAAUUGUGUGAAUGUCAUAGAUACAAAGUGAAAAGUUAGAUCACUUAUACCCAUCUACUGUGGUUUGGAAAUGUUUUUCAUUUGUUCCAAGUAGCCCAAUUUUUAAGAUAGUUUUUAAUUCCAGCAUGUACAGUGUUAUACAGAAAUUCACUACACUAUUACAGAAUGUUUACUGUAUAUAAAGAAAUAUAAGAUCAAAUAUCAGUCAUGUAUUAAUUGCUUGUUGGGGCGACUUACAGAUUGUUUGUUUAGGUCCACUUACAAAUGACUAAUACACUUGAUCAUAUGUGCUUUUCUUGUAAGUACUAUAAAACAAAUGGGAUUUAUUCCAGCUAAAUGAGUUUAAUUACUAUUAAAAGAAACUGGCAUGAGUUUUAAACACAUAAUACAGAUGCAUUACCUUGAUUUACAGGAUUAUGCAAAUAAUCUUGAAAAGAUGCUUUGAAGUGCACUGUAGUCUGAAUAUAACAUUUGCCUACAACUCUUGAAAGUAGCAGUAGCUUUUCUGGCAUCCUGCAGCUGCCCUUGUGGUUGCCAAAUGGCCCUAGGUAAACACUAGGCUGAUUUAAACACUUUGAUGACAAGUGCUACAUUUAUUUCCCCAUACUCCAAAAGCACCUUUCUGAACCUAAAGCACUGUCUGGUAUAUAUUUUCCAUCCACCAAUCUUGUAGGGCCCCAUGUACUCUAUCAAUAUGUUAACUGUAAACUACAUUCAUCAGUUUCUUCAUCCAACUCAUGGAUGUUGGCUAUACAGCGAUACAACAUUAGUACAUACACCAUUCUACUGAUAUAUAUCAAGCACCUGACAAUUGCCGUAGAACAAUCAAAAUAACUUCAGGUACCAUAAAUGAUAAUUAGAAUGUUCUCUUUCACUGUGUGUCUUCAUGUAGAGGCCAAGUAAUAGUCAAACUGAAAUGCUUUAGUAAUGUUCACGUAAUUUAUGCUAAUCAAAUGCUAAUCAAAUUACCUGUUGACUGCAAAGUGAAGCAUGGAAUUUUGUGAGUGGAAAGUAUUUCCAUAAUUGUCAUGGAAGUGGAUAGUCAAACUCAAAGUGAUGCCCAAUGGUAAUGCCAGUAAAGGUUCAUGAUUUUUUGUAUGGAAAAUUGGGUUCAUGGAUAUUCUCAGGUAGGAAAUAGGAGCUACCUGCAUGAUACAUUCAGUAAAAAAUUGAAGGUGAAAUCAGUUUCCCGUUGCUCAAAAUACAUGUAAGCAGUUAUAUUGUAUAUGAUUAUCUGGAUUACUUUUUACCCUACUAAUAAACACGUUUUUGAUUUUA